rnacentral:sRNA from 1 species
AUUUAAUUAUCAACAGAAAAUAUUUAAUGUCAGUGGCAUGCCAUUGUAAAUAAGUGCCAAGUACAGGAUUUAUUUGCUAAAAUGGCUGCAAAAAUGUAGAUGUAAAUGUAGAUGUAAAUGUAGAUGUUAGUGUUUGAUUGAAAGCACGUGUAAAAGAACAAUUAAACUAGUUCAAAUUCAAAUUGUUCAACUGAAUCCCCUUAAAUGGUUCAACUAAACAAGUAAUCGAUGGUUCAACUGUUUAUUUUGGUAGCACAACGAGUUCAAAUGGUUCCCAUGGUUCAUUCAUCAUAAAUAUAGUGGUUCAUAUGGUUCAUUGAACGCUAAAAACAUAAACCCGUGAUUUUCCCGCCAAAAACGUAAACCCGUGAUUUUCCCGCCUAAAACGUAAACCCGUGAUUUUCUGGCAGAAACGUAAACCCGUAAUUUUCCCACCGAAAAACGUAAACCCGUGAUUUUCCCGCCAAAAACGUUAACCUGUAAUUUUUCCGCCAAAAACGUAAACCUGUAAUUUUUCCGCCAAAAAUAUAAAUCCGUAAAAAGUGGAAUCCGUAAAUAUCGUAAGUUUGAUGAUAAUGAAUUAAUAAUUAUUAAUAAUGAUAAUUAUUUAUUAUUGUUUUAUAAUAAUAAUUAAUUAAAUUAUUACUUAAAUGGAUUAACCCAUUUAACAACUCAACCCAUCAAAUUAAAUGAGUUAUGGGUUGACCCAACCUAUUUAACAAAAUGAGUUGAGUCAACCCAUAACUCAUUUAACCCUAAACUCAUUUGAUUAUGAGUUGGGUUACCCAUUUUGAGACCCAUAUGGUUCAUACAUAAAUACUUGUAUAAUAAAAACAAAGUGGUUCACAUGAUUCAUUCAUCAUAAAUAUAGUGGUUCACAUGGUUCAUACAUAAAUACUUGCAUAAUAAAAACAAAGUGGUUCACAAAGGUCAUGCAUAAUUAAAGUUU